rnacentral:lncRNA from 1 species
AGACUACAUCAUCACUUACCAUCAGGUGAGAUUGAAUAAAAAAAAAUGAAACAAUCACGACAGUAAUACUUCCUCAGGUGAACUUCACAUGGAUAAACUACUGCUAGUAUAAUUCAGUAAUAUUGUGAAAUAGAUAGAACAAGAUUAUAUGAGUGUGCAUAUAAAGAUAUAACACUUAUGUGUGUAUCUAUGAAUUAGCACACAAGUGCUUAUGAAGAUUAACAACAAUUAACGUUAUCAUUAGUAGUUUUGAAUAUUCAGCGUAACUAAUCAUGAGCUUGUUUAUUUCAACAUACAAACUGGUGAAAACAAAAUAUUAUCAAAUUUUCUAGUAUAAAUACUAUAAUAUUAUUCUAUUGUAAUAUGCAUUUUUUGUAUU